rnacentral:rRNA from 1 species
UGUCCUACGGGGGGCAGCAGUGAGGAAUAUUGGUCAAUGGGCUAAGGCCUGAACCAGCCAAGUCGCGUGAGGGAAGACGGUCCUAUGGAUUGUAAACCUCUUUUGUCGGGGAGCAACGAGGCCACGUGUGGCCGAAGUGAGAGUACCCGAUGAAAAAGCAUCGGCUAACUCCGUGCCAGCAGCCGCGGUAAUACGGAGGAUGCGAGCGUUAUCCGGAUUUAUUGGGUUUAAAGGGUGCGUAGGCGGACAGUCAAGUCAGCGGUAAAAAUGCGGUGCUCAACGCCGUACAGCCGUUGAAACUGGCA